rnacentral:rRNA from 1 species
AAUGAACGCUGGCGGAAUGCUUUACACAUGCAAGUCGAACGGUAGAGGGGGCAACCCUCGAGAGUGGCGAACGGGUGAGUAAUAUAUCGGAACGUGCCCAGUCGUGGGGGAUAACGUAGCGAAAGUUACGCUAAUACCGCAUACGAUCUAAGGAUGAAAGCGGGGGAUCGCAAGACCUCGCGCGAUUGGAGCGGCCGAUAUCAGAUUAGGUAGUUGGUGGGGUAAAGGCUCACCAAGCCAACGAUCUGUAGCUGGUCUGAGAGGACGACCAGCCACACUGGAACUGAGACACGGUCCAGACUCCUACGGGAGGCAGCAGUGGGGAAUUUUGGACAAUGGACGCAAGUCUGAUCCAGCCAUUCCGCGUGCAGGAUGAAGGCCCUCGGGUUGUAAACUGCUUUUGUACGGAACGAAAAGGUUUGUCUUAAUACGAUGAGCUCAUGACGGUACCGUAAGAAUAAGCACCGGCUAACUACGUG